CCCUGGAAACUGAUUAUGAAUGUUAAAGGUUAACGGGUAGCGGGACCCCCAUGGAUACUAGUAGGCUGGUAAAUGAGAAAAGGAUAUGUUGUAUAAUGAUUGAAUUACAAAAGGCGUGAUAAGUGCUAUGUUUUACAGCUUAUAUUAUUCCAUGAUUGUGAUAAUGUUAUUGUUUUCUUAUAUUGUUUCAUGAAUUCUACCGAGGUAAGUGGAUGGUAAAGGUUUUAUCAUAAAUAAAAGGAUUUGUUGCAAAUCAUGCUCCAUUGGUCUUUUGUGUUUUUCU
rnacentral:lncRNA from 1 species